GACGAACGCUGGCGGCGUGCUUUACACAUGCAAGUCGAACGGUGAAGGUGGAGCUUGCUCCGCCGGAUCAGUGGCGAACGGGUGAGUAACACGUGGGCAACCUGCCCCUAACUUUGGGAUAACUACUCGAAAGAGUAGCUAAUACCGGAUAUGAAGUCUGUAGGCAUCUAUGGAUUUGGAAAGUUUUUCGGUUAGGGAUGGGCCCGCGGCCUAUCAGCUUGUUGGUGAGGUAGUGGCUCACCAAGGCGACGACGGGUAACCGGCCUGAGAGGGCGACCGGCCACACUGGGACUGAGACACGGGCCAGACUCCUACGGGAGGCAGCAGUGGGGAAUAUUGCACAAUGGGCGCAAGCCUGAUGCAGCAACGCCGCGUGAGGGAUGACGGCCUUCGGGUUGUAAACCUCUUUUAGUAGGGAAGAAGCGAAAGUGACGGUACCUGCAGAAAAAGCACCGGCUAACUACGUGCCAGCCGCCGCCGUAA
rnacentral:rRNA from 1 species